GAACUCACUUACAUUUCCAACAGUAUAAAUAGUAUAGGCAAAACAUCCAGUUAUAUAUGUUAAAACAAGGAAACCAAACCCAACAAGUUUAUAAUCUGAAACAUCCACAAGCGUAAUGAGUCUAUGGUAUAAUAGAGACAUCAAUUGUUUGCGAAGCCAGAGGUCGAAACGUAUAACCUGGGCAUAUAAGGGCAUACAAAACAAUUUCAAAUUGCCAUUUAUCACAGGAAAGCCUGAGAUUCAGAGCUAAAGAGAAGGGGAAAAAAAAA
rnacentral:sRNA from 1 species